CAGAGAGACCUGGCUGCAAUUGCCCUCUGGUCGUAGGUGAGUGUUGUUCUUCCUGUCUCCACGAACAGAUACUCCCUCUACCCUUGAACACACUGCUGUCACUGGGGCCUCACUGCUGGGAGGGGUCUUCUGGUUCAGCUGUCUCCUCACUGAAGCGUAUGCUUCGUGAGACUCUAGGCUAUUUUUAUCUUUGGCCUCCGUGCCUAGCACUGGGCUACGAUUAGUCUAUCAAGUUUCCGCACACACGAAGGAGUAAAUGCAGAAAUAUCUAUUCAGUGUGUGCAGUCAAAAACGAAGUUCAGAAUCGCAUUGGUUCUUAGGUAAAUCAUUUACUGGCGAGUUGACUCUUUAGAAGUAUUGCCCCUCCCCUCUUGGCUUCAAGUGAAUUUUGGACACACGAAUGGAUACAAUGACUAGGACAAUAAAAAUGGCUAGCACACGAGGAUGCUCACCACGUGCCCGGCUCGUCUCUAGGCACUUUCAGUAGAGAAUAUGUUCUACUCCAGCCUUUAUACCUGACUUACUAUAGCCUGGGUGUAUUGUGUGUGUGUGCUUACACACGCGCACACCUACACGCCCCUUCUGACGCGUGCAAUCUUGAUUAUUUACCGUUGCCUAAAUAUAUUAACACACAAUUUCCUACAGAAGUAAAAACCAUCAUGUUUAGGAAGAGGUAUUUUCCUGCCUGAACCUAUAUAGCUUGUGCUGGCAAGUGAAUUUUCUGUGAAACUGGUGACUUUGAAAGAUCUGGAAAACAAAACCGCGCAGCUUGAAGAAAGGUGGUUUCCAUUGCCAUCGGACCUACUAAUGCUUUCCAGUCUUUCUUUCUACACAUUGGGGCAAGGAGGGGAAGACAGAAUAAAUACCUCGUCCAAACUCCAGGACUGGAGACAAAUAUUUUAAUUUUCUAAACAUUUUUACAAGUCGAGAGAAAUGGAAACUUUGCAGACUGUGAAAGGCAUCCUUUCAGGUUCCUUUUAUUUUCAGGUUAGGGGAGUGCUGUUUGAGUGGUGCUGAAUUCACAGGGUCAACCUCUUGUCGGCUGAACGGUUUACAAAUUGAGGAUUCCGCUCCGAUAGGUUGAUUUCGUGUUGCUUGUCCAGUUUUUAAGCCGGGAAGAGAAGCCUUCUGGUGAUGUGAUAUGAAAACGUGGUCUGUUCUGCCGGAUUUAGUUAAUCUGCUGCUGCUGCUGCUGGUGAAUCAAAGGAAGAAGGAGGAGGAGGGAGAGAAGAGCUACCUACGUAGCUGUUACUCACACAUCCGCGUUGCACUGAAUUUACUGGCUAACGCAGUGACAACAGCGAUUAUUUUUCUCGACACCAGUGAUGCCGUGGGACUGUUCAGGGUUCUGCGAAGGGACUGCCCAUUGGCGUUUUGUGCCAGACCAGGCAUUUUCACCUGGGGAGUGCCUUGCGGUCUUAUUCAUUUUUCUGGACCCUGAGCCCUUGGCAAGCAAAACAAGAAUUCGGAGCCGUCUUUUUUUAAAUGACUUCAGCAGGAGGGCUCGGCCCAGGAUCUCUCCGCCCCCUUCCCACUGAGAAACUCAGACCGCUGUUUUUUAGCUGUUUACCCAAAAACGAAUAAACAAAACCUCGCGAUGA